rnacentral:rRNA from 1 species
UCAGGCCUAACACAUGCAAGUCGAACGGCAGCACGGGUGCUUGCAUCUGGUGGCGAGUGGCGAACGGGUGAGUAAUACAUCGGAACGUACCUUAUCGUGGGGGAUAACGCAGCGAAAGCUGUGCUAAUACCGCAUACGCCCUGAGGGGGAAAGCGGGGGAUCGCAAGACCUCGCGCGAUUAGAGCGGCCGAUGCCUGAUUAGCUAGUUGGUGGGGUAAAAGCCCACCAAGGCGACGAUCAGUAGCUGGUCUGAGAGGACGAUCAGCCACACUGGGGCUGAGACACGGCCCAGACUCCUACGGGAGGCAGCAGUGGGGAAUUUUGGACAAUGGGGGCAACC